GCACCAGUGGUCUUGUGGUAGAAUAAUACUCUGCCACGGUACAGACCCGGAUUCGAUUCCCGAAUGGUGCA
rnacentral:tRNA from 1 species